rnacentral:rRNA from 1 species
GAUGAACGCUGGCGGCGUGCCUAAUACAUGCAAGUAGAACGCUGAAGGAAGGAGCUUGCUCUUUCCGGAGGAGUUGCGAACGGGUGAGUAACGCGUAGGUAACCUGCCUGGUAGCGGGGGAUAACUAUUGGAAACGAUAGCUAAUACCUCCUAACAGUAGAUGUUGCAUGACAACUAUUUGAAAGGGGCAAUUGCUCCACUACCAUAUGGACCUGCGUUGUAUUAGCUAGUUGGUGAGGUAACGGCUCACCAAGGCGACGAUACAUAGCCGACCUGAGAGGGUGAUCGGCCACACUGGGACUGAGACACGGCCCAGACUCCUACGGGAGGCAGCAGUAGGGAAUCUUCGGCAAUGGACGGAAGUCUGACCGAGCAACGCCGCGUGAGUGAUGAAGGUUUUCGGAUCGUAAAGCUCUGUUGUAAGAGAAGAACGAGUGUGAGAGUGGAAAGUACACACUGUGACGGUAUCUUACCAGAAAGGGACGGCUAACUACGUG